rnacentral:rRNA from 1 species
UACGGAGGGUGCAAGCGUUAAUCGGAAUUACUGGGCGUAAAGCGCACGCAGGUGGCUGAGUAAGUCGAUUGUGAAAGCCCUGGGCUUAACCUGGGAAUUGCAGUCGAUACUGCUCGGCUAGAGUAUGGGAGAGGGUAGUGGAAUUCCCGGUGUAGCGGUGAAAUGCGUAGACAUCGGGAGGAACAUCAGUGGCGAAGGCGGCUACCUGGCCCAAUACUGACACUCAGGUGCGACAGCGUGGGGAGCAAACAGG